CUACGGGGUGCUGCAGUUAGGAAUAUUGGACAAUGGGGGCAACCCUGAUCCAGCCAUGCCGCGUGAGUGAUGAAGGCCUUCGGGUUGUAAAGCUCUUUAGCCGACGAAUAUAAUGACUGUAGUCGGAGAAUAAGCCCCGGCUAACUUCGUGCCAGCAGCCGCGGUUAUACGAAGGGGGCGAGCGUUAUUCGGAAUUACUGGGCGUAAAGCGUGCGUAGGCGGUUAAGCAAGUUAGAAGUGAAAUCCCAGAGCUCAACUUUGGAAUUGCUUUUAAAACUGUUUAACUUGAAUUCGGUAGAGGAUAGCGGAAUUAUCAGUGUAGCAGUGAAAUGCGUAGAUAUUGAUAGGAACACCAGUGGCGUAGGCGGCUAUCUGGACCGACAUUGACGCUGAGGUACGAAAGCGUGGGGAGCAAACAGGAUUAGAUACCCUCGUAGUC
rnacentral:rRNA from 1 species